UAAGGAAUAUUGGUCAAUGGACGCAAGUCUGAACCAGCCAUGCCGCGUGGAGGAUUAAGGCCCUCUGGGUUGUAAACUCCUUUUAUCUGGGAAGAAAUGUACUUUUUCUUGAGUACUUGACGGUACCAGAGGAAUAAGCACCGGCUAACUCCGUGCCAGCAGCCGCGGUAAUACGGAGGGUGCAAGCGUUAUCCGGAUUCACUGGGUUUAAAGGGUGCGUAGGUGGGCAGGUAAGUCAGUGGUGAAAUCUCCGGGCUUAACCCGGAAACUUCCGUUGAUACUAUGUGUCUUGAAUAUUGUGGAGGUAAGCGGAAUAUGUCAUGUAGCGGUGAAAUGCUUAGAUAUGACAUAGAACACCAAUUUCGAAGGCAGCUUACUACACAAUCAUUGACGCUGAGGCACGAAAGCGUGGGGA
rnacentral:rRNA from 1 species